rnacentral:lncRNA from 1 species
GGCAUAGCCCACAUUCUUGUGAAUCACCCACAGUGAUUCCUGCAGUGUUGUCCCCAGCCUCAAGCCUCUCUGCACCGUAAUUGUGCUUCUUUUCCUCAGAUACCUGCCUUGCAUUGGCCCUGGGUAAAUGUUUCCCUUGGCUGUGAAUAGGCAAUUAAAAUUCUGAACCUUUUAUGGCUCUGGAAGCUUAUCCGAUGAAACAAUACUCAUCCAGGCGGAUGGCCCACCAGCGCAAAGGGCUGAGGCCGCUGUAAGCCAAGGUACGCAACGCUUGCUAAACAGGAAUCCCUGGAAUGAAUCCAUGCAUGAGGCCUUUGUGCCAUGUGACAGUUGAAGGCUGUGGUGACCCCGGAACCGUCCCACUCCGAGACGCCUUAACACCGUUUUUCUGCUGUUACAAACCACAGAGCAACGCGUGUGCCUCCUCCCGCCCUGGGGACUCUUUCUGUGGGAGAGGUGCCUGGAUUUAGAGGAGCGACCACUCUUCAUUUGUAGGAUCUUGGUCACUUUCCCAGUUGUCACUCGGCCCACAAACUAGGAUGUGAGCAGCAUAUUAAGAAUCUGCAGAGAUGUUCCCGUCUGCCCGGCAUAUGGAUGUCCUUCUGGGCUGCAAAGUGGCAUCCUGUGGGCAACUCCCCCCACAACAACCAGCUGCCAGCUCUGGGGAUUUGGGCAGCAGAUUUGGGGUUGACAGCAGAAUGACAUGAUCACCAGUUGACCUUGGCCAGGAUGCCAGCUUACUUUCUCGCUUACUUCUGCAGGUUCUUUGUUCUGCGGGUGAGUCACCCAGGUCCUGCCCUCCGUGCCUGUCUGCCCUCUCCCACUUUCCCUGCCCUGAGCUUGUUCCCACUUGUAGAUUUGGCAGGUCACUGCCAAGGCCCCUAUUCCCCCAACAUGGCCAGUGCCCUAAGGGUGGGUUGUACAGGGAGGAGCUGGCGUGGUCAGUAGACUUGAAUCAGGGACAACUCGGCUGCUGAAGGCUGAGGGGGCCUUGCAGGGCUGCAGGUGCCUUGUGCACACAGGGAGUGGGUAGAGAAGGCAACCAGGGGCUCCUUCAGGCCUUAAUGCUCUGCAGCCCAGUGAGGCUGUGCCCAGAGAGUCUGGCGAGGCCCUGGUCUGCUCCCCCAGCCAAUGGCCUGAUGCUGUUCCAUCUGGGCACCCUGUCACUUUUCGUUCAUCAGGGAGUACAGGGUGAUUCAGGGUCUCAAAUGCAGGUGUUCACAAAAUGAAAUAGAACUUCCCUCUAUCCCCGUGCUUCUUUUUAUUUUUAUAACAAAUAUACAUCGUUAUAUUUUAUUUUUAUAUUUAUGUAUUUUAUAUAUAUGUGACAUCUACUACAUGACAGAAAAUAUUUAUGGCCAGGCAAGGUGGCUUACACCUGUAAUGCCAGCACUUUGGGAGGCUGAGGCAGGCGGAUCACCUGAGGUCGAGAGUUGGAGACCAGUGUGACCAACAUGGAGAAACCCCAUCUCUACUAAAAAUACAAAAUCAGCUGGGGGUGGUGGCGCAUGCCUGUAAUCCCAGCUACUCGGGAAGCUGAGGCAGGAGAAUCGCUUGAACCGGGGAGGCGGAGGUUGUGGUGAGCCGAGAUUGCACCAUUGCACUCCAGCCUGGCAACAAGGGAUAAACCCCGUCUCAAAAAAAAAAAAAGAAAAAAAAAAAGAAAAAAAUAUUUAUAAUGUAACUAAUAUAGCUAAAAUAAAAUGUAAUUUCAGUCUCAAGCCUUCAUUCUGUUAAGGGGACAGAAACUUAAUCUUGGUCAUCUUGGGGUCUCCCUCCCUGGGGCUGUGCCUGACUUCCAGGGGGCUCGGCGUUGGCAGGAUUUCUGGUGCUUGAGGUCACCUGUCAGCCUGUCUCUUGUCAUUGGCUAUCCGCCGUGCCAUCUGCUCCUGUGUGUCCUUGGCACUGUUCGCAUGUCUCCAGCUCGCUGGCUUUCUCUGCCACCUUGGAGCCACUCCUGGGUGCACAGGAGUCUUACUGCUCCCACGCUGUGCUGGGGCCUGGGAAGACUGCUGUGGCCUACCUGCCUCCGUGUAGCACACACACCCAUUUCUUCUUCUUCUUCUCCUUCUCCUUCUUCAGACAGAGACUCACUCUGUCACCUAGGCUGGACUGCAGUGGUGCCAAAUUGGCUCACUGCAACCUCCGCCUCCCGGGUU